UACGUAGGGUGCAAGCGUUGUCCGGAAUUAUUGGGCGUAAAGAGCUCGUAGGCGGUCUGUUGCGUCGGCUGUGAAAACCCGGGGCUCAACCCCGGGCCUGCAGCCGAUACGGGCAGACUAGAGUUCGGCAGGGGAGACUGGAAUUCCUGGUGUAGCGGUGAAAUGCGCAGAUAUCAGGAGGAACACCGGUGGCGAAGGCGGGUCUCUGGGCAACAACUGACGCUGAGGAGCGAAAGCGUGGGGAGCGAACAGGAUUAGA
rnacentral:rRNA from 1 species